AGCCUCACCGUCUCUAAACCCCUGAUUUCACUCUCUCUCUCUCUCUCUUCAAACCCCUUCGUUUCUCUCGCUUCAAACCUUCGUUUAUUCGAUUAAUCUGCAACCCUUCUCUUCGAUUCACCCCUUCGUUUAUUCGAUUCAAGUAUUCGUAGAUCGUCGAUUCGCAGAGCAGAAUGUUAAGUGUUGAUCAGUCUCAUCUAUAUCUUCUCACAUUCAAGUUCGAUUGAAGAUGAUACUUACUAAUGGAAUCAUUCGAUUCAGUUCUACCUUCUUCAGCUCGGUGAUUCAAUCUCAGAUUCAUUCGGCGAUUUCGAAGUUCUCUCUCGAUUUCAAAGCUCCGUGAUUCAAUUUCAGAUUCAUCCGGCGAGGAGAGUGAGCACCAUCAUCUACUAAGGUGAGCACCUUCCCAUCAGAAAAUCUCAAGUUCUCUCUCUCUCUCUCUCUCUCUCUCUCUCUCUCGCGUUCUUCUUCUUCCUUCCCGUCAAUUCUUCUCCUAGGGUUUUCAAUCAAUGUUUUGAAGAAGUUUAAUCUCUGUUUUUUUGUUGAUCAGUUUGUAUUGAUCAAUCAGUGUUUUACACAUCUCAUUUAUUUUUCCCCAGAUCACCAGAACUGAUUUUUCAAUUAGUAUUCUUUAUUUUUCACUCUCUAUUUUUUUAUUACCCUGUUUUAAACCCUAAAUUAGCAUCAACAAUAUUAGCCUGUUUUUUUCCUAUGCUGAUCUGAUUUUUGGUCCCAAUUCUGAUAUAUGCACAUAUUAUACUUUUCUCAAUGGCAUUGUUGUUAGGGUUGCAAAGUUUAAUGAUUCUAGUUGAUUUUUAGGAGUUAAGUUGUGAAUCUUUUGUACUUAUUCCAGUUACAAGAUUAGGGACUUUAAGCAGGAAAUAAGAGUGAAAGAUGAGACUGUAAAUGGCACUUACUGUCUACAUACAAAUAAAUAUGGAAAUUAAUUGUGCCAAUGAAUAAUAGAUAAAAAGAUUAUGAAUAGUGAAUGAUAGAAUGCUUCCAAGGUUACAAAUUAAUGUAUUUACAGAUUCUCAUUAGUAAAACUCAGUGGCCAUGUGGUCAUGAUUGUCUUGACUUCUCUUUUGGAAAAAAUGUUCCCCAGUAGCAUAAUGAUUCUAUAAAUAAGGUGCAUAAUUUCCAAAAGAAAAUUUAUGUAAUCAUGCUAUGACUAAAAGUCUAUAACAUACAUCACUUGGUGAUUAUGAAUGACAUACAGGGUAAUAUGUCAUGAUUUCAUGUUGUUUUUAUUAUUUUGUUCUUUACUGAAGCUUUGAUUUUUGUUUGUUUUUUUCCACAACUAUGCAACAUUUAGUUACUUUUGGACUCAUAAUUAAACACAGCUUUAUGCUUUAUGCACAAAUAUAUCCUUCAUUUUCGGUGGCCUGCUAAUGUUACUCUGUUUUAUGUGGGUUAGUAUGAGUAUGCGAGUACACAUAUUUAUGUGCAUACCUGGAUUUCUAUUUCCAGCAUCACUUCAAGUAAUGAAUCACAUCAAAUAUGUGAUGGUAAAUGUUUGUAUGCAUCCUUCAAAUUUCAGUUGAUGCUAGUUAAUUGGGUGGAUGAGUAGCUUCAGUGAUCAAUAUCUUAAAUCUUUGUAAACUUAAAUUGGUUGAGCUUGGUUGCCCCUGAAUGUCUACUUGGGUACUAAGCUUAGUAACCAAUGUAUAAUUGUUUUGAAAUAUGCCUGAACCUGUUUAUUCUGUUCACCACAUGCCCAUGAAUGUCUAAUUGGGUACUCAAUUUCAUUAUUGACCAAAAUGAAGCUCACAUCAAAAUUCCAACUAUAAAAAGAGAUAUGAUCAAAAUAGUGAAAGGUGUUUACACUUUCUGAAUUUUGGGGUUUUGAUCAAGAUUAAGCAAGAACCACUCCAGGUUGAUGUUUAACUCCUCAAUGUUCACAAUAGUCAAUUCUAAUGCAAAAUAGUGAAAGAUGUUACAUUUGAUAUUUAACUAAAGGACGUGAAUGGCUUUGGGAUAAGUGGAGAUUUUCAAACCUGAGACCAAUUGGAAAAGUGGGAUGUGGUAAACUUCUUAGUAAGAAGGUAAGCCCAAUGGCUAUUAAAAUCACCAUUUGCAGAUCCCAGAUGAUCUGGUCUGGACCACUGGAAAGUGAUCUCAAAGAUUGAAAGAUAGAUCUUAGUGGGAAAAGCCAUGGAGAUGUUGCUAAAAUCCCAAGCAUUGUUGGACCAACAGUCUCUAACUUUCAUAUUCUCCUCAAAAGAUUUAAGGGGGCCAAUUCCAGUCUAAUUAUCAAACCAAAACAAGGUAUGGGCCGAUUCCGUUGCACCAGCUCUGCACCCAUUAUUCUGAUUUUGUGCAGUUAUAUUUUUGGUUAUCUUUACGUUUUGGCAUAGCUAAUGCUUUUUGGACUUGUGUCAUUGCUAAUGGAUCAUUGGAUCAUUUUUGUGGUCAAGAUUUGCGUUAAAUCAUCGGCCCUCAGCUGGUUCUAUCCAUGUGUAGCAGACUCAAAUGAUUAGGUGAUAUUGUUUGGUAGUUGGCCUAUCCAUCUUAGUUGAAGUUUGGCCUUUGAAACUAACUCGUUCUAAGCUUGGUUUCUUGGAAUUGAACUUGUUGGAUUUUUUUCAUGAAGGAUGUUGUAUUGUGUAUUAUUAUAGAUGUGAUGGAACAGUAAUUAAACAAAUAUUUGUCAGUUAUCUGGUUAUAAAUUCUUGGUGCGGAUGACAAGUAUAUUUGUCAGUACACUGAAGAAUCUCGUAACUUCUGGGGAAGUAAGUUUUUAUUGCCUUAGGAUUUUGACUUAUUGUUUUCGUUUCUCAAUGGAACAGAACAAGUUCAUAAUGGUUCUUUAUUAGUAGAACCAUUCA